AUGAUCGAAUUCAUCCUGGGGUUUUGUCUGUUCAUGAAGAAAGGAAAGUUUCUUUGUGAAAUGGCACAUGUGUUGCUAGAUGGCAACCUGACUAAGAAAUAUCUUUUUGUUACUCAUGUGGAAAAGGAUUUGUUUCCUUACGGGGAAUAUGCCUGGGUACUCCCUGAUGAGAAAAAUAAGCCUCCUGCAUAUCUCUCCUGUGUAAACGCUGAUCCGUGGGACUGUGUGCUGUUCUACGUUAUAUACCCCGAAGUCAAUCCAGUCGAAGAACCAUGGCUGUCAGAUAUGCAAACAACACAGGAAUCAAAAUUCAGAUGUUAG
rnacentral:rRNA from 1 species